UUCCUACGGGGGGCAGCAGUGGGGAAUAUUGCACAAUGGGGGAAACCCUGAUGCAGCGACGCCGCGUGAGUGAAAAAGUAUUUCGGGAUGUAAAGCUCUAUCAGCAGGGAAGAUAAUGACGGUACCUGAGUAAGAAGCCCCGGCUAACUACGUGCCAGCAGCCGCGGUAAUACGUAGGGGGCAAGCGUUAUCCGGAUUUACUGGGUGUAAAGGGAGCGUAGACGGCAUGGCAAGGCUGAAGUGAAAGCCCGGGGCUCAACCGC
rnacentral:rRNA from 1 species